UACAGAGACUGCAAGCGUUAUUCGGAUUCACUGGGCGUAAAGGGUGCGCAGGUGGCCAAGUGUGUCAGGUGUGAAAUCCCGGGCUUAACUCCGGAACUGCGCCGUGAAACUGCUUGGCUAGAGCAUUGGAGAGGGUAGCAGAAUUCAUGGUGUAGCAGUGAAAUGCGUAGAUAUCAUGAGGAAUACCAGAGGCGAAGGCGGCUACCUGGACAAAUUGCUGACGCUCAGGCACGAAAGCGUGGGGAGCAAAAGGG
rnacentral:rRNA from 1 species